UACGAAGGGUGCGAGCGUUUAUUCGGAUUUAUUGGGCGUAAAGGGCGCGUAGGCGGCCACCGCAAGUCGACUGUGAAAUCUCCGGGCUUAACUCGGAAAGGUCAGCCGAUACUGCGGGGCUAGAGUGCAGAAGGGGGCAACUGGAAUUCUCGGUGUAGCGGUGAAAUGCGUAGAUAUCGAGAGGAACACCUGCGGCGAAGGCGGGUUGCUGGGCUGACACUGACGCUGAGGCGCGAAAGCGUGGGGGAGCAAACAGG
rnacentral:rRNA from 1 species